GGGGGUGCCCUGGUUUCGACGGGAGGAUUACAGGGGCCGUACUGCAGGUGGAGCGCCAACUCCUAAAACUAGCGCACACUUUCAAGUGCCAAAAAAGAAGAUGAGAUCGUAGUCGAAUUCGACGGCGCUCUCGCUAUGGCUGCGUAAUAUAACACAGCCCGGAUUACCGGGACGCUGUUCCGAGGACCGGCUAAUCCGACACAAACCGGAACUUACCUGAACUUCGGCCUGCGGCUGUUUCAGGGACAUUAAGCAGGAUAAGGCACGGACGGCCGUCGACCGCCCACCCCGUGCACGAAAAUUUAUCGGACGACUAAACCUGUAGAUGUGCGUUUUCUGACCUACCGGACGCGGGUUCGAUUCCCGCCACCUCCAAAA
rnacentral:tmRNA from 1 species